UACGUAGGGAGCGAGCGUUGUCCGGAUUUAUUGGGCGUAAAGGGCGCGUAGGCGGACAGCUUAGUCAGAGGUGAAAGCCCAGGGCUCAACCUUGGAAAUGCCUUUGAUACUGGCUGUCUUGAGUUCGGGAGAGGUGAGUGGAAUGCCGAGUGUAGAGGUGAAAUUCGUAGAUAUUCGGCGGAGCACCAGUGGCGAAGGCGACUCACUGGCCCGAUACUGACGCUGAGGCGCGAAAGCGUGGGGAGCAAACAGG
rnacentral:rRNA from 1 species